CGCUUCUCUACCUCAAGAAAGAAUUCACGAAACCUCUCUUAAGCCAGCUGCUCUGGGGCUGACCUCCUGCACAUCCUCUGAGGCAGGUGCCUGGGCUUUUCACCUGGACAACAGGGCGAGACUGGGGAGUCGCUUGCACCCAUUUUCAUAAAAUUAUGACCAAGAAAACAGCGGCUGCAAUCUGAUUGUUGCUGAUGUCUUAGAGAUCAUCCUCAGACUUACUGGACUAAACAGCCAUUCUCAACACCCGAUGAUACCCUCCAAGGGCCCAUUCCUCCUCCUUAAGAAAUGCCUGAAGUCAGGUGGAUUGAAAUGGAAUCAAAUACAAAGAAGUCUGCAGGAUUUUCAUGGGAGUUGCACAGGCUCUAGGGACAACAGCAUGGACUAAAAGGCACUGAAAUUACCCCAAACACAAAGAGAUCUGCAGGCUUCCAGAUUAUCUUGGGGUAGGGGCAGACUGGGAAAUCUACCCAGCCACUGAAAUGGCUCCUUUCUUCAGAAAUCCAGAUGCCACAUAAGGUGAUGGAGAAGAAAGGACAUCUCAGAGUGUGAACCCAGGAGCCAUGCAGACCAGUGGACUGAGGAAUGACUCUGGGGGUCAAUGAGGCCCAAAUCAAAGUGCAAUGCUCUCUCCUGGAGGUGCCAGCAUUUGCCCUGUGGAUUUCAGAAUUACUAAAGACCAGUGACUGCUCUGUGCUUCUGUGCUCCAUCCUUGCAAGUGUUUCUUUCUGUGGAGGUCCUUAUUGUGGUUAUUCUCUCUCACCAUUGUACGUUCAAGGUGACUACAACACAGAGAUCACCCACUGCUAAGAUCAGCUUGUUCUGUCCCCCAGAGAGGUGGCUGAUGGUGAUGGUAGGAUCUUGAAGCUUCAUCAUGAUAUGGUAAUUAAAUGGGACUUUUGAAGGUCUUGGAAGCAUAUGAUUACAACACAGAAACUGAAUAGUUAAAGCCAGAGGUGGGUGACAGUGGAUCAAUCGCAUUGACAGCCAUAAUCGAUGAACCCUUUUCAAUGGGAGCAUCUCCUCCAGUCCCAAGGGGGAUUCUAUUUUCUCACCUGUGAAUCAGGCUUGAACUUGCUUUGACAGCAGAAUGGUUGAGUGUCUCUGUGUCACUUCCCCGCCUGGCCCCUGGAGGUCGUUCUCUUCUGCUUGCUGUCUUGCAGGUUUCAUUUGCUGUCUUGUGGGCCUUGCUUCUGCUGAUAACCCUUCCUUCUGGUUAGUUGGCCGCAGGAGGAGAGACCACAGGCAGCCCAGCUGGAUCAGCUCAGAGCAGGUCAUCCUAGAACACUCAUGCAGAUGACAGGCAGCUGGACAAGGGUGUAUGCCUGAGCCUGGCCUGGGGAACAGAGCAAAAUAGCUGAUGCAGAGACCUAAAUAUUCAUAGAACAAAAAGUGAAAAUUAUUUGAAUGCUGCAUUAGUCAAUUCAUAACAGGAAAAUUGCAAGUGCAUUAUAAUUUUUCUAUUUUGAAACACAGGAACUUUUUGCGGGGAUUUACAAGUGGUUUCAUAAGCCAUCGUGUGUGUGUGUGUGUGUGUGGAUGUGUAGCACAAUGAGUAAAUAACAUCAGUUUUUAUGUAUUUGUAAAUGUUAGUUAAUUAGUGAAUUAAACCUUUUUAAAACCCACCCGUACAAUUUGUAUGUAGCAAAUAAAAGGAGAGAAAUAUAAAACACAAUUUAUAAAUUUAUAUACAAAGUAUAAUUUGAGCAAGUUGUGUAAAGAUUAUGAAAUAUGAAGAUUUUGUUCUUCAUAGUUAUGAAAUUAAUGAUUUCAUACUAUCUUUAGAGUAAUUUAAGAAUGUGUAAAAAAUGGCUCCAUUAUGGAAUUUUGUAUAUUUAUUUAAUCUAUUUCUUGUCCCAAU
rnacentral:lncRNA from 1 species